GGCUCCAUAGCUCAGUGGUUAGAGCUACCUGUCUAGACUUACAGGAGGUCCCAGGUUCGAGUCCUGGUGUGGUCA